GGAAGCUUUCGGGUGGAAUGAACUUAACUUAGCGGCGGACGGGUGAGUAACGCGUGGACAACCUACCCUGUACAGGGGGAUAACAAUGGGAAACCAUUGCUAAUACCCCAUAACACCUUUUAGGGGCAUCCCUUUAAGGUCAAAGAAUUUCGGUACAGGAUGGGUCCGCGUCUGAUUAGCUAGUUGGUGAGGUAAUGGCUCACCAAGGCGACGAUCAGUAGCCGGCCUGAGAGGGUGAACGGCCACACUGGAACUGAGACACGGUCCAGACUCCUACGGGAGGCAGCAGUGGGGAAUAUUGCACAAUGGGCGAAAGCCUGAUGCAGCAACGCCGCGUGAGCGAUGAAGGCUUUCGGGUCGUAAAGCUCUGUCCUAAGGGAAGAUAAUGACGGUACCUUAGGAGGAAGCCCCGGCUAACUACGUGCCAGCAGCCGCGGUAAUACGUAGGGGGCAAGCGUUAUCCGGAAUCAUUGGGCGUAAAGGGUGCGUAGGCGGCCCUAUAGGUCAGAGGUCAAAGGCUACGGCUCAACCGUAGUAAGCCUUUGAAACUGUAGGGCUUGAGUGCAGGAGAGGAGAGUGGAAUUCCUAGUGUAGCGGUGAAAUGCGUAGAUAUUAGGAGGAACACCAGUGGCGAAGGCGACUCUCUGGACUGCAACUGACGCUGAGGCACGAAAGCGUGGGGAGCGAACAGGAUUAGAUACCCUGGUAGUCCACGCCGUAAACGAUGAGUGCUAGGUGUCGGGGGUCGAACCUCGGUGCCGCAGCUAACGCAUUAAGCACUCCGCCUGGGGAGUACGUUCGCAAGAAUGAAACUCAAAGGAAUUGACGGGGACCCGCACAAGCAGCGGAGCAUGUGGUUUAAUUCGAAGCAACGCGAAGAACCUUACCUGGACUUGACAUCCCUCGGACCGCUUUUUAACCAAAGCCUUCCCUUCGGGGACUGAGGUGACAGGUGGUGCAUGGUUGUCGUCAGCUCGUGUCG
rnacentral:rRNA from 1 species